UACAGAGGUCUCAAGCGUUGUUCGGAAUCACUGGGCGUAAAGGGUGCGUAGGCGGUGCCGUAAGUCAGAUGUGAAAGCCCCAGGCUCAACCUGGGAAUUGCAUCCGAUACUGCGGUGCUCGAGAACUGGAGAGGUAACUAGAAUUCUCAGUGUAGCAGUGAAAUGCGUAGAUAUUGAGAGGAAUGCCAAAGGCGAAGGCAGGUUACUGGACAGUUUCUGACGCUGAGGCACGAAGGCCGAGGUAGCGAACGGG
rnacentral:rRNA from 1 species